rnacentral:rRNA from 1 species
UGGUCAAUCUAGUGGCGAACGGGUGAGUAACACGUGGGUAACCUGCCCAUCAGAGGGGGAUAACAUUCGGAAACGGAUGCUAAAACCGCAUAGGUCCUUUAACCGCAUGGUUGAAGGAGGAAAAGAGGCGCAAGCUUCUGCUGAUGGAUGGACCCGCGGUGCAUUAGCUAGUUGGUGAGGUAACGGCUCACCAAGGCCGUGAUGCAUAGCCGACCUGAGAGGGUGAUCGGCCACAUUGGGACUGAGACACGGCCCAAACUCCUACGGGAGGCAGCAGUAGGGAAUCUUCCGCAAUGGACGCAAGUCUGACGGAGCAACGCCGCGUGAGUGAAGAAGGUUUUCGGAUCGUAAAACUCUGUUGUUAGAGAAGAACAAGUGCUAGAGUAACUGUUAGCGCCUUGACGGUAUCUAACCAGAAAGCCACGGCUAACUACGUGCCAGCAGCCGCGGUAAUACGUAGGUGGCAAGCGUUGUCCGGAUUUAUUGGGCGUAAAGCGAGCGCAGGCGGUUCCUUAAGUCUGAUGUGAAAGCCCCCGGCUCAACCGGGGAGGGUCAUUGGAAACUGGGGAACUUGAGUGCAGAAGAGGAGAGUGGAAUUCCAUGUGUAGCGGUGAAAUGCGUAGAUAUAUGGAGGAACACCAGUGGCGAAGGCGACUCUCUGGUCUGUAACUGACGCUGAGGCUCGAAAGCGUGGGUAGCAAACAGGAUUAGAUACCCUGGUAGUCCACGCCGUAAACGAUGAGUGCUAAGUGUU